AGAUGAGGUUCCCCACCGGGUCAACCGGGUAAGACCGCAGGGAGAUCACCUGUUCGAUAGGCGGCAUGUGGAAGUCGGGCAACCGAUGUAGCUGAGCCGUACUAAUGGUCGAGGGCUUGACCUC
rnacentral:rRNA from 1 species